rnacentral:rRNA from 1 species
ACGGCUGCUCAGUAACACGUAGUCAACCUAACCUAUGGACGGGAAUAACCUCGGGAAACUGAGAAUAAUGCCCGAUAGAACACUAUACCUGGAAUGGUUUGUGUUCCAAAUGAUUUAUCGCCGUAGGAUGGGACUGCGGCCUAUCAGUUUGUUGGUGAGGUAAUGGCCCACCAAGACUAUUACGGGUACGGGCUCUGAGAGGAGUAGCCCGGAGAUGGGUACUGAGACACGGACCCAGGCCCUAUGGGGCGCAGCAGGCGAGAAAACUUUGCAAUGUGCGAAAGCACGACAAGGUUAAUCCGAGUGGUUUCUGCUAAAGGAACCUUUUGUUAGUCCUAGAAACACUAACGAAUAAGGGGUGGGCAAGUUCUGGUGUCAGCCGCCGCGGUAAAACCAGCACCUCAAGUGGUCAGGAUGAUUAUUGGGCCUAAAGCAUCCGUGGCCGGCUCUGUAAGUUUUCGGUUAAAUCUGUACGCUCAACGUACAGGCCGCCGGGAAUACUGCAGAGCUAGGGAGUGGGAGAGGUAGACGGUACUCGGGAGGAAGUGGUAAAAUGCUUUGAUCUCUCGAUGACCACCUGUGGCGAAGGCGGUCUACCAGAACACGUCCGACGGUGAGGGAUGAAAGCUGGGGGAGCAAACCGGAUUAGAUACCCGGGUAGUCCCAGCUGUAAACUAUGCAAACUCAGUGAUGCAUUGGCUUGUGGCCAAUGCAGUAUUGCAGGGAAGCCGUUAAGUUUGCCGCCUGGGAAGUACGUACGCAAGUAUGAAACUUAAAGGAAUUGGCGGGGGAGCAGA